rnacentral:misc_RNA from 1 species
GUAAAAUCUAUUCUAAACAUAGUUUACAAAGAGGGCAAGAGGCAACCGCCCACCCUUGUCCUAGGCCCAGCCAACCUAUUGGACCUAUUCAACAACAGUAAUUAGAGCCCAAAAAUCUCCACACAACAGGCCUAAAUUACUCAAUUUCGGUGGUCCAAAAACUGGUGUAAAACAAAUCAUGCGGGAAUUUGGUUUCUUUCCUUCAACUUCAGUUGCAGCAACUUUGGAUGGUGAAACCUUGUUAUUCAUGCACUUGCAUGACCAUGGCUUCUUAUAGCCCUUUCUCAAAGUCUCCUACCGUUUCUGCUUCUCUAUCCGCUUAUCCAAAACUGAUCCCCACUGCGAAUUCUUCAUGUUUCCUUCCUUCUUUCUCUGCUGUCCGAUCUCGCUUUUUCUGUGCACGAUGAAUGGCUCAGGUGAAUUCUGGCUCUGUUCUUGUAAGGUUAUUUCGCUAUCUGAAAACAAUUACCUAAGCUGCUUUUUCAUUUGGAUUAACGAGAAACUCUUGGGUCCUCUUCAGUCUUGACUUUUUUGAGUGUUGAGACUUGAGACAGAGAUUUUCUAUUGGGAAUUUUUACAAACACCUGGCGUGAGAGUUCAUGGGUUUUAAUGAUAUGAACAGAGUUUUGAGAGUCUAGGCUCUAUUUUAAAAUGAAUGCACUUGAAGCUUGGUCAAUUCUGUGUGUAGAGCAAGGUGAUAUUUAAGCUGCAGUGUGUUAUUUCUAUACUCGAACUUGAUAAGCCAGAAGGGAGAAGGGAACCGGAGAAACACGCAAAUGGUGUCUUCUGGAUUAUGCUUCUCAAUCUUGGAAUAUAUCUUCCUGAUCACUUUUUUCAGGUACUUUAACUAUCUUGCUUUCAUGCUAUUGAUUCCAUGCUAUUGAAUGUUCUGCUGACUAAAUUGACGAUUUGUUUUUCACACCUAAUCCAUCUUAUAUGGAAAUUGAAGUUGCAGAACAAGAAUUAGAGAAACCACAGAAAUCAUUUAAGCCACAUAGUUAACGAGUAGUUCUGUUUCAUUUUUUAUAUAAUAACGUCUGCACUUACAUAUGUUGAUUUGAGAUUUUUUGUAGAGACUUGGAAGUUGUUUUGAGGCUGAAUUUUUGUGGCCAUAUGGAAACUAUUUCUGAGGGUCUCCAGAAGUGCAAGUCAAUAAUAGAGUUUCUGUUUUUCCUUUUUUGCACAGGUCGCGUUGCAUCAAAUCUCUGAAUAUGUUUCACAAUUGGCCUUCUUGAUACCUGUUUGUGACAGCAACAUUCUUCCAUGCUAGCUGGUGAGGUCUUCAUGCUGUUGAAAGGGAAACUUGUUGAAGAAGAGGGGAAUUUUACAUUGUGGCUUUCGUAUAUUCUGACAGUUGUUGGAGCAAACCUUGUUUCACAGUUAGUUUUACUGAGAAAUGCAGUUUCUGUAUGAGCUUCUUGUGCUGUUUUUGGAUUAUUUGUGAUCAGUGUCCUUGUAAAGGUAACUAAUGUUUUGAAAUGCACAUGUCUAUUUGAAAUUAAAAUGCAUCAUGCAUGAACUUUCUAACCUCCUUUUCUUUAUUGUCGAUAACAUGGAACUUGAAAAAGAUCCUUGAAGUGCUUAUAUUAGGCCAGUUUGUUAGAGAUGGUGAGCACUUCCCGUACCUUUACAAAUUAGAAUUUCCAUAUGAAUUACAAAUUAUAAGAAACAAGCAAGUACCAGGGAGUUGACAAAGUGUAUGCUGAGAAUUGUUCUUCCCACGAAAGAUGGAUGCGAGGGGAAGUAAAAUGUGUGCAUUGUUCAAUCUGAGCUUUAUUACAAGUGCUGAUAGCUCCUUUGAGAAGACAUGAAGUUGAGCCUUUGGCCAUGGUUGAUGUUCCUAAAACUAAAACAGUCAUUUAAUUAAACUGAUUAUCACCACUGACUUUCAAACUGACUUCAAACGCAUGCAUUCUUAGGUUUGUUUGGUGGAGAUUUAACUUAAACAUCUUAUGUUACAAGUAAUGGAGGCAGCCCAAGCUUCAGCAACAUUUUUAGGCACUUUUCAUGGAGGCUACCCUAUUCAGAGUGUCAAUCAUAUUGCACAUCUAUCUGAUGCUCUUACUGUUGUGGUUUUGGUAUGGCAUAUCUCAGACCGUGAAGCAUCAACAUUUCAUGGAAAAUCAAGCAAAAGUUGAUAAGAAAUUUCCAAGAUGUGUAUCCCAUAAAUGUGUAUAAAUAGAAGGAUUUCAUUACAUAAUUCCUUUCUUAUGAUGAUUUCUAUCUGUUGGAGAUUUGUGAAUGUCAUGGAUAUUUUUCUAUGUAUGCAUUUGCUAGUGAUGCAUCAGAGUCUGAUGUAAUUAUAAGCCAUAGUCAUGGCCGAGGUAUUCAUGUUGAUAUGAAAUGUAAAUGUUAUGAGGUUAUAAACCAUUUAGCUAUGCAACUCCAGCUCAUGCCGCUUAAAUGGAUAUGAAAGGGAGGGAGAAACACAAAUUGUCUGGCAGCAAGUUUUUGGUUUUCCUUUCCUCAAAUAACUAAAAAUUAACAGCAAAUACAAAAUAAAAAUUUGACUUGCAUUAUCAUUGAGCCUGGAAAGGCAACAAUUCUCAGAAAUCAUGAACUCCCUGUACUAUCUACAGCAUAUAUAAUGACAAAUUUCUUUUCAGUAAGGAAUGUGAACAAAGUUACACCAUAAAAAGUAAAAAAAGAAAAGAAAGGACAAUUUCUUUUCCUUUCAGUUCAAGAACACUGCUGUACCUGAUUGUGCAAGCUGACCAUACAUACCAUGCUGCCCUUGGUACUGCUUAUGGCAAAUGAUUGGUGACCUUGCUCCAAAUUUACAAGUAUGAGAGAUACACAUGGAUUUCGUAGCAAGCCAAGAGUAUGCCAUUGAAAAGUCAGCAUCUCUCAGCACCAUUCUACCUUUUCUAAGGGCUGCAGUAGACCCUCUCUGAUCACUUGUAACAGUACUCGGUAUCCGUAAGAGAUUGGAAUGUGAGACACCAGAGUUUUGCUUUUCGUAGACUUUCUCUAGGCUGUCAACCGGUAUGUCUUCUUCAGCUGUAUCUUUAUUACUGGUCAUUUCCUUUCUUUUUAUGGUGCUAAGCAUUCUGUUAGCCUCCUUUGUCAGUCCAAUGGCACGCCACGCUUCUGCAACUAGCAGCAUGGUGGAUCUCUCAGGCUCUACCUUAAAUGCUGGCAUAAUCUGGAGAAUUUCUUCUGCUUUCCAUGGCUGCUUGGCUUCACUAAAUCCCCAAAUUAAUGUCUCAAAAGUCUUCAAAUUAGGAGAAAUUCCAUAUUCACACAUUUUGUCAAAAACUCUAAUUGCAUCCUCCAUUCUGCCAGCACUGCACCAUCCACUAGUCACAGUUGUGAAAAUCACAACAUUUGGGUGGAAUCCUGAUUUAAUCAUGGUUGUUAGGAGUUCUUCGGCUUUCUCAGGUUCUUGGGCACGUACAUAACCUUUAGCAAGGAUGCUGUAUGCAUGUGCAUCAGGUUCUAUACCAGCCUUCACCAUGUCAUCAAAGAUUUCCCUGCACUUUUCCAUAUAUCCUGCUGUGCUCCAUGCGUUCAUGAUUGUACUAAAUGUUAUGACAUCUGGUUUGACAUUGAAUUCUCCCAUCAACUUGAGAACCUCAUCAACCCCAUCUCUAUCCAUAAUAUCCACAAAGCCUUUGAUCAGUGAAUUAAGAACAACAAGAUUAGGAUGCACCCCAAGUUCCUUCAUCCUGUACACAAAUCUCAAUGCCCCCUUUAUUCUUCCUUCUUUACAAUAUCCACUUAUAAUUAUCCCACAAGUUCGCUCAUUCGGCUGCAAACCAUUAUUUUGCAUUUCUGAGAUCAUCUCUUCAGCCAGAUUUGUCUCUCCUUUCUGAGCAUAAGCUGUGGCUAAGGUGUUGUAAGUAACCGCAUCAGGUUGCAUCCCAGAAGCUACCAUCUUAUGCACAACAUUCCAUGCCUCUGCAAUGUUCUUCUUGUUACACCACACUCUGACAAGAACAUUAUAAGUCCUGAGAUUGGGUUUGACAUCCCCUUCUUGGGACAUAAGGUCUAGCAGUUUCACAGAUUCUUCAGGUUUACCAGCAAUGCCAUACCCUUUGAUUAAAGUGUUGUAAGUGCUAGUGGUAGGUUUAAUUCCAAUCUCCUUCAUCUUCCAAAAGGUUCCCAUGGCUUCCUCCAUGUUCCCAGAUUCAGAGAAUGCAUUUAUAACAGCAUUAAGAAAUAUUGAAUCAGGCUUCAUUCCAUUUUCUUCCACAUGUGAGAUGAUCGAAUGUAUGGAGUUGAAACGCUUCUGCAUGGUCAAGGCAGCCAAGAGUGUCGUGUAUGUUAUUAGAGAUGGACUGUGCCCUCCAUCUAUUAAACUAUCAAAAAUGGAUUCUGCUUCCUGGGGCUUUCCUUUUUCUACCAGAAUAUUCAUUAGUUUUGACCUUGAUCGCACAGUUCUGCAACCAUCUUUGGUCAUGCAGAACAUACAACUGCCCACAUUUUGAUACUCCCUAGACUUUGAAGUUGGAGAAAAUUUGUUCUUAUAAUCUGGAUUAUUAUCCUAAGAAAGAAAAGAAAAAACAAUUAUCAUUUUUGAACAAAUCCAAACUCUUCCAUAGUUUCUUAUUAACUGCUCUUACAAAAACUAUUGAUCAGUAGGACAAUACAAAUUAGGAUCACAUGCAGUGACUCACUAAUACAUCUAAAUUUGAACUUCAAUUAUAGAAAAACCAUAGGAUAUUAGGUAUCAUCUCUUGUCUAACUUUUCCAUUUCAGGCAGAUUAAAAGAGCAAAUUGUAAAUUGUUAGACAUCUGUUUAUGACAUACACCUAUAAAGUGGUCUUAAUAAAUGCUAUCGAAUUAUUUUCUUAAUAUUUUAUGGCAACAUGAUUAACUAGCAUUUGAUGAAAAAUUUGACAUUUAAGCAACAACCUAAGCAAUCACAAAUCUAAUCUAAAUCAUUUUAUAAAUAUUUUAUAAAUAAAAUGGUUUCUAUUUCUAUAGCUCCUUAAUAAAACUAAUUGUGUUAUUUUCCCAUACACAUAUGGUACCAUCUUUUCACAUCUCUCCAGCUGUCCAUCUCACCAUCUGUGGUGUAGGUAAUAAUGCGGUCACAUAUUUCUUAGUUGCUAACUUGUCAUUGAAAAGUAGUAUGGAUCUUUUUAUUUUUUUUCCCCCAAUUUUAAGAUCCAUUAAUUUCAUAAUAAUUCUCUAGAUAUAGCAUGUGAUGAUUACAUAAAACCAAAGUACAUCUUUACAUUCCCAGCAAGUAAAAGGAAGACAGAAUGUCAAAAGUGGAAAUAAUCCAAUGAAGAGAAAGAUAUCAUUCAAUAAUGAGGAAUAAGUGUAUCUUAAUUAGAAAUUCUUUUUAUGUAACUGAAUUCCACUAGGUUCUAUAUUAGAAUUAUGGUCAGUACUAGAGGCUUUGCCAGUAGUAGGGGAAUAAGGUUACAAACUUUGAUCCAUGUUGAGGAUUCCUCACUACCUAAACGUAUAGGCAAAAUGACAAUGAGAAAAUAAAAAUUGAUUUCUUGAGUCAAAGGUCUUACCCAGUAAAGCUAUACCCACAAGUAUAUGAUGGAUGUAAGAUAAACAUAUCAGUAUAUAGUUAGAUGUACCUUGAUUGGUGAUGUUUGCACCCAUCCUUUCUUGAUAGCGGUUGUUUCCACUUCAUUCUUGCUGGAGGUUCUGGACACAGCCUUCUCGUCUCCAAAUUCUCCCAUAUGGUCCACACGUGCUUGUCAACCUGAAAGUUUUGAAUUUUAUUUUAGACCAACUGCAAACAAAACUUAUAGCUUAAGUUUUUGUUGACUUUCAUAAUUCUCCUCGUAGCUUUUGAGUUCAGCACUAGCAGAUAGUGUAAAUGAGAGAGAGAGAGGGAUGAACUUUGAAUUUGAGAUGGAGAAAGGAAAAAUAAAGGUACAGAACAGUGAAUGGAAUCCUGAUAAACAUAUUGUCCACAAAGUAUUUGCAUUUGAGAACAGCCGAUAAGGAAG